rnacentral:rRNA from 1 species
AGGAUUCCCCUAGUAACGGCGAGUGAACCGGGAAGAGCUCAAAUUUGAAAUCUGGCAGUCUUCGAUUGUCCGAGUUGUAAUCUAUAGAAGCGUUUUCCGUGCUGAACUGUGUAUAAGUCCCUUGGAACAGGGUAUCAAAGAGGGUGACAAUCCCGUACUUUACACAAUCAUCAGUGCUCUGUGAUACGUUCUCUACGAGUCGAGUUGUUUGGGAAUGCAGCUCAAAAUGGGUGGUAAAUUCCAUCUAAAGCUAAAUAUUGGCGAGAGACCGAUAGCGAACAAGUACCGUGAGGGAAAGAUGAAAAGCACUUUGGAAAGAGAGUUAAACAGUACGUGAAAUUGUUGAAAGGGAAACGAAAUUCAUGAAUCAUGUUUAUUGGACUCAGCCGUUCUUCGGUGUACUUCCUUUAAACGGGUCAACAUCAGUUUUGUCCGAUGGAUAAAGGUAGUAGGAAGGUGGCUCUCUCGGGAGUGUUAUAGCCUAUUGCUGCAUACAUUGGAUGAGACUGAGGACUGCAGCUUGCCUUUAUGGCCGGGGUUCGCCCACGUCAAGCUAGGAGUGAC